rnacentral:rRNA from 1 species
UACAGAGGUCUCAAGCGUUGUUCGGAUUCAUUGGGCGUAAAGGGUGCGUAGGCGGCGCGGUAAGUCGGGUGUGAAAUCUCGGAGCUUAACUCCGAAACUGCAUUCGAUACUGCCGUGCUUGAGGACUGGAGAGGAGACUGGAAUUUACGGUGUAGCGGUGAAAUGCGUAGAUAUCGUAAGGAAGACCAGUGGCGAAGGCGGGUCUCUGGGCCGAUACUGGACGCUGAGAAGCGAAAGCGUGGGGAGCGAACAGG